UUGAUCCUGGCUCAGAACGAACGCUGGCGGCGCGUUUUAAGCAUGCAAGUCGAACGGUAGAGAAGUGCUUGCACUUCUUGAGAGUGGCGAACGGGUGAGUAACACGUAGGUGAUCUACCGCAGGGGUUGGGGAUAGCCCAUGGAAACAUGGGGUAAUACCGAAUACGCUCAUUUGGCUGUGGCCGGAUGAGGAAAGGCGCUUCGGCGUCGCCCUGCGAUGAGCCUGCGCCCCAUUAGCUAGUUGGUAGGAUAAAGGCCUACCAAGGCGACGAUGGGUAGCCGGCCUGAGAGGGUGAUCGGCCACACUGGGACUGAGAUACGGCCCAGACUCCUACGGGAGGCAGCAGCUAAGAAUCUUCCGCAAUGGACGAAAGUCUGACGGAGCGACGCCGCGUGGGUGAAGAAGGCCGGAAGGUUGUAAAGCCCUUUUCUCGUUGAGGAAUAAGCACAGGAGGGAAUGCCUGUGCGAUGACGGUAGGCGAGGAAUAAGUCCCGGCCAAUUACGUGCCAGCAGCCGCGGUAACACGUAUGGGACGAGCGUUGUUCGGAAUCAUUGGGCGUAAAGGGCGCGUAGGCGGCGAGGUAAGCCUGGUGUGAAAGACCGCAGCUUAACUGCGGAACCGCGCUAGGAACUGCUUUGCUUGAGUUCAGGAGGGGGAGCUGGAAUUCCAGGUGUAGGGGUGAAAUCUGUAGAUAUCUGGAAGAACACCGGCGGCGAAGGCGAGCUCCUGGCCAUGAACUGACGCUGAGGCGCGAAAGCGUGGGGAGCGAACAGGAUUAGAUACCCUGGUAGUCCACGCUGUAAACGAUGUGCACUAGGUGUUGGGCCACGAAGGUUCAGUGCCGGAGUCAACGCGUUAAGUGCACCGCCUGGGGAGUAUGCUCGC
rnacentral:rRNA from 1 species